GGCGAACGGGUGAGUAACACGUGGGUGAUCUGCCCCUUACUUUGGGAUAAGCCUGGGAAACUGGGUCUAAUACUGGAUAGGACCAUGCUGUAGGUGGUGUGGUGGAAAGAUUAGUUUCGGUAAGGGAUGAGCUCGCGGCCUAUCAGCUUGUUGGUGGUGUAAUGGCCUACCAAGGCGUCGACGGGUAGCCGGCCUGAGAGGGUGGACGGCCACAUUGGGACUGAGAUACGGCCCAG
rnacentral:rRNA from 1 species